CAUGGAGGGUGAGAAUCCCGUCCGGCUGACCUUCAGGACGUUUUACGAUACGCUCUCAAAGAGUCGAGUUGUUUGGGAUUGCAGCUCAAAAUGGGAGGUAAAUUUCUCCUAAGGCUAAAUACCGGCGAGAGACCGAUAGCGAACAAGUACCGUGAGGGAAAGAUGAAAAGAAUUUUGAAAAGAAAGUCAAACAGUACGUGAAAUUGUUGAAUGGGAAACGAUUGAAGCCAGUCGUACCGACGGGAAUUCAACUUCUCGAGUGCUAAUCGUGGGUGACGUUGAGCCUCACGGCCUUCGUUGCUUGUGUUGUUGGUGCUUUUGGGGUGUACUUUUCCGUAUGGUAGGUCAGCAUCGAUUUCGAUCGUCAUAAAAUGAUCGGGGGAAUGUAGCUUCUGUCUCGUAUCUGAGUGUUAUAUACCUUGGUAGAUGUGACGAUUGGGAUCGAGGAUUGCAACGAAUACCCUCUGGGCUAUCCGCCUGUCCUCUGAAAGUCGCUCGGGCGUCGAAUGCGUGCUUAUGGCUAUUCGAGUUGGCGGUCAAUAGGUUAGAACGUGAUUAUAUUCGUUAAGGAUGUUGACGUAAUGG
rnacentral:rRNA from 1 species